rnacentral:rRNA from 1 species
AGAGUUUGAUCCUGGCUCAGAACGAACGCUGGCGGCAGGCUUAACACAUGCAAGUCGAACGCACCGCAAGGUGAGUGGCAGACGGGUGAGUAACGCGUGGGAACGUGCCCUUCAGUUCGGGAUAACCCAGGGAAACUUGGGCUAAUACCGGAUACGUGCGAGAGCAGAAAGAUUCAUCGCUGAAGGAUCGGCCCGCGUCUGAUUAGCUAGUUGGUAGGGUAAUGGCCUACCAAGGCGACGAUCAGUAGCUGGUCUGAGAGGAUGAUCAGCCACAUUGGGACUGAGACACGGCCCAAACUCCUACGGGAGGCAGCAGUGGGGAAUAUUGGACAAUGGGCGCAAGCCUGAUCCAGCCAUGCCGCGUGAGUGAUGAAGGCCUUAGGGUUGUAAAGCUCUUUCGUCCGGGACGAUAAUGACGGUACCGGAAGAAGAAGCCCCGGCUAACUUCGUGCCAGCAGCCGCGGUAAUACGAAGGGGGCUAGCGUUGUUCGGAAUCACUGGGCGUAAAGGGCGCGUAGGCGGCCUGAUAAGUCGGGGGGUGAAAGCCUGUGGCUCAACCACAGAAUUGCCUUCGAUACUGUCGGGCUUGAGACCGGAAGAGGUAAGUGGAACUGCGAGUGUAGAGGUGAAAUUCGUAGAUAUUCGCAAGAACACCAGUGGCGAAGGCGGCUUACUGGUCCGGUUCUGACGCUGAGGCGCGAAAGCGUGGGGAGCAAACAGGAUUAGAUACCCUAGUAGUCC